rnacentral:rRNA from 1 species
CCCUUAGAUGUUCUGGGCGGCACGCGCGCUACACUGACAGAGCCAACGAGUGCAUCACCUUGGCCGGAAGGUCUGGGUAAUCUUGUUAAACUCUGUCGUGCUGGGGAUAGAGCAUUGCAAUUGUUGCUCUUCAACGAGGAAUGCCUAGUAAGCGCGUGUCAUCAGCACGCGUUGAUUACGUCCCUGCCCUUUGUACACACCGCCCGUCGCUACUACCGAUUGAAUGGCUGAGUGAGGCCUCCGGACUGGCCCAGGGAGGUCGGAAACGACCACCCAGGGCCGGGAAGCUGGUCAAACUUGGUCAUUUAGAGGAAGUAAAAGUCGUAACA